rnacentral:rRNA from 1 species
AUUGAACGCUGGCGGCAGGCCUAACACAUGCAAGUCGAGCGGAGAGGCGGACGGGUGAGUAAUGCCUAUGAAUCUGCCUGGCAGUGGUGGAUAACGUCCGGAAACGGGCCCUAAUACCGCAUCCUAUCAGUUGAGCCUGGGUCGGUUUAGCUCGUUGGUGGGGUAAAGGCCUACCAAGGCGACGAUCCGUAACUGGUCUGAGAGGACGAUCAGUCACACUGGAACUGAGACACGGUCCAGACUCCUACGGGAGGCAGCAGUGGGGAAUAUUGGACAAUGGGCGAAAGCCUGAUCCAGCCAUGCCGCGUGUGUGAAGAAGGUCUUCGGGUUGUAAAGCACUUUAAGUUGGGAGGCGUUACCAACAGAAUAAGCACCGGCUAACUUCGUGCCAGCAGCCGCGGUAAUAC